AGACUGAACGCUGGCGGCAUGGCUAAAACAUGCAAGUCGAACGGACCCGCAAGGGUUAGUGGCGGAAGGGUGAGUAAUACUAUCGAAUGUACCCCGAGGUGGAGGAUAGGCAUGGGAAACUGUGCGUAAUACUUCAUGAUCUCGAGAGAGCAAAGCCGCAAGGCGCCUUGGGAGCAGCGAUAUUCCUAUCAGGUAGUUGGCGGGGUAAUGGCCCACCAAGCCGAAGACGGGUAGCCGGUAUGAGAGUACGGCCGGCCACAUCGGGACUGAGACACUGCCCGGACUCCUACGGGAGGCUGCAGUAACGAAUAUUCCGCAAUGGGCGAAAGCCUGACGGAGCAAUGCCGCGUGUGGGAUGGAAGCGGUUUCGCCGUGUAAACCACUGUCAGAAGAUAGAAAAGAUGAUCAUCUUCAGAGGAAGGGCGACUAACUCUGCGCCAGCAGCCGC
rnacentral:rRNA from 1 species